GCGAGGUGGGACCCGCGGUGGGUGGAAGACAAUCGCCUUUGCGGCCGGUUUGGGCUCCAGCCCCGGGGGGAUCACUUCUAGGAUGAGCUGGUCUCUGCCACGAUGGUCACAGCUCUCGGUCUUUCCCAGGCUCAGCUUCUUCAUCCAUGAAGUGGGGCCCUGAGCGUGUGCUGGGUGCGCAGGCAGCCUGUGAGAUCGGGACCCUGCAGCCUCACCCAUCUCUAGCGGCAAUGAAUUAAUUUGGAGUCUCCAUUUUGAACAA